GCAGUCGACGAACACUUCUGAAUGGAGAUUCGUCAAAGUUCAGAAUUGACUUAGUGGCGGACGGGUGAGUAAUGCAUGAGCAACCUGCCCUGCAGUGGGGGACAACAGUUGGAAACGACUGCUAAUACCGCAUGAUGUAUCUGGAAGGCAUCUUCCGGAUACCAAAGAUUUAUCGCUGUGGGAUGGGCUCAUGUCUGAUUAGUUAGUUGGUGGGGUAACGGCCUACCAAGACUGCGAUCAGUAGCCGGACUGAGAGGUUGAACGGCCACAUUGGGACUGAGAUACGGCCCAGACUCCUACGGGAGGCAGCAGUGGGGAAUAUUGGGCAAUGGGCGAAAGCCUGACCCAGCAACGCCGCGUGAAGGAAGAAGGUCUUCGGAUUGUAAACUUCUUUUAUGAGGGACGAAGGAAGUGACGGUACCUCAUGAAUAAGCCACGGCUAACUACGUGCCAGCAGCCGCGGUAAUACGUAGGUGGCAAGCGUUGUCCGGAUUUACUGGGUGUAAAGGGCGCGUAGGCGGGAUGGCAAGUCAGAUGUGAAAUCCAUGGGCUCAACCCAUGAACUGCAUUUGAAACUGUC
rnacentral:rRNA from 1 species